GUUGGCUUAGAAGCAGCUAUUCAUUCAAAGAGUGCGUAAUAGCUCACUAGUCGAGUGACCCUGCGCCGAAAAUGUACCGGGGCUAAAACAAUUUACCGAAGCUGUGGAUACCCUUAUAGGUAUGGUAGGAGAGCGUUCUAUGUGUGAACAAGGUGUACCGUGAGGAGUGCUGGAACGCAUAGAAGUGAGAAUCCCGGUAUGAGUAGCGAAAGACAGGUAAGAAUCCUGUCCACCGUAAGACUAAGGUUUCCCAGGGGAAGCCUCGUCCGCCCUGGGUUAGUCGGGACCUAAGGAGAGACCGAAAGGUGUAUCCGAUGGACAACAGGUUGAUAUUCCUGUACUAGAGUAUGUAGUGAUGGAGGGACGCAGUAGGCUAACUAAAGCAGACGAUUGGAAGUGUCUGUCUAAGCAGUGAGGUGUGAUAUGAGUCAAAUGCUUAUAUCUGUAACAUUGAGCUGUGAUGGGGAGCGAAGUUUAGUAGCGAAGUUAGUGACGUCACACUGCCAAGAAAAGCUUCUAGCGUUUAAGCAUACUCUACCCGUACCGCAAACCGACACAGGUAGUCGAGGCGAGUAGCCUCAGGUGAGCGAGAGAACUCUCGUUAAGGAACUCGGCAAAAUG
rnacentral:rRNA from 1 species